rnacentral:rRNA from 1 species
AUUGAACGCUGGCGGCAUGCCUUACACAUGCAAGUCGAACGGCAGCGCGGGGCAACCUUGCGGCGAGUGGUGAACGGGGGCGUAAUACAUCGGAACGCAUCCAGAUGUGCGGGUUAACGUAGCGUAAGUUACGCUAAUACCGCAUACGAUCUCCGGAAGCAAGCGGGGGACCUCCGGGCCUCUUGCUUUUUUACCCGCCGGUGUCUGAUUAGCUAGUUGGUGGGGUAAAGGCGCACCAAGGCGACGAUCAGUAGCUGGUCUGAGAGGACGACCAGCCACACUGGGACUGAGACACGGCCCAGACUCCUACGGGAGGCAGCAGUGGGGAAUUUUGGACAAUGGGCGCAAGCCUGAUCCAGCAAUGCCGCGUGAGUGAAGAAGGCCUUCGGGUUGUAAAGCUCUUUUGUCAGGGAAGAAACGGCUGAGGAUAAUACCUUCGGGUAAUGACGGUACCUAAAGAAUAAGCACCGGCUAACUACGUG